UGUACCUGCAUAGACAAGACAAUGAUUAUAAGCACACUUACAUUACAAGCCAAAAACAAGAAGGACCUAAAAUGACUUGAGUUAAAGUUCUGUUCGGAUAAACAACUUAAUUAAGGGCUUAUCAUACUUGUGUAUAAGCUAUUUCUAUAAGAGAAGAUAAAAUAAAGUCAAUUUAUUUUCAUACAAGCUAUAAGCAGUUGUCAACAGCUAUCUUGCAAAGUGUUUUGGGCCGCUCACAAGGCCCAAGACGAAAGACUCAAAGGCAAAGUGAAGGAAGCGAACGCGAGGAACAAGUGUUCCCCACUCUCAGCCCCUUGUCGAUUGUUCGCACUACAUGUCGCACUCCUCAUAGACGGUUUUAACCGCUCCCACUAUAUAGGAGAGAAAACUCGCCAUCCUCAGGUCCGUGUCCCCUCCUUCCAGAAGCUCAAGCCCACCGUAAUGAAGCAAUACCUCAUCGUUUCACCAAUCAUUUCUAGUUCUAAACAAAACACAAAGUUUAAGGAAAAAAGCGUAAAACAACUUAUGGACAUGUCAUAAGCACUUGAUUAAGCUGUUUUUCCAAACGAUCCCUAAAGCAUUGAAGACAAUUUAACUGAUAUAAAAGAGAGAAUUUGGCUUACUGUCUUAAAGUCCCAGAUGUGAACAUCUCAGUGACAAAGUUUAUGUGUCUAUUGGUAGUAUCAACCCAAGAAGUGUAGAACUUCAUGAUGUUCUUAUGCUUCAAUGUCUUGAGAAGAUGAAUUUCACAGUAUAAUCU